UUGGACCCAACAGCUAACACCCCACAGAGUGGGUGAGGGAACACCAGCACUCAGGCCGGGAGCCAUGAAGAGACUGGCAGCUCUGCUGGGGCUUCUGUGGGGCCGGCUGUGCUGGGUGAGGGGGCUGCAGGUUCAGCAGAGUCCUUCAGCCCUGCGUGUCCAGGAGGGAGCCAGCCCUACCCUGAGGUGCAAUUUCUCCACCACAGUGAACAAUGUGCAGUGGUUCCGACAGAAUCCUGGGAGCGGCCUCGUCAAUCUGUUCUUCAUAGCUUCAGGGACAAAGCAGAAUGGAAGGUUGAAGGCAACAGUUAGUUCCCAGGAGCGCUACAGCACCCUCCACGUCACGACCUCCCAACUGGAAGACUCCGGCACCUACCUCUGUGCAGCAGAGACACAGUGCUCCCAGGGCGUCUGCUGCCUGGACCCAAACUGCAGCUGGGCCUGCAGCUGUAACCCCGCCCAUCUCCCAGGGAGGCACGUGGCUUCUGCAUAGCAUUUGCACUGCUUUGUGCUUUCUGCUUGAUGUUGGAGCACUUUUAUCUCUGCUAACCUAGAUGUUUCAGGACUGUCAUUUCACUCAGUUUUCAUACUCCUUUUCUCCCGGAAAUCACUACACAGGAAAGAACUCCAACAAA